GACGAACGCUGGCGGCGUGCUUAACACAUGCAAGUCGAACGGAAAGGCCCUGCUUUUGUGGGGUGCUCGAGUGGCGAACGGGUGAGUAACACGUGAGUAACCUGCCCUUGACUUUGGGAUAACUUCAGGAAACUGGGGCUAAUACCGGAUAGGAGCUCCUGCUGCAUGGUGGGGGUUGGAAAGUUUCGGCGGUUGGGGAUGGACUCGCGGCUUAUCAGCUUGUUGGUGGGGUAGUGGCUUACCAAGGCUUUGACGGGUAGCCGGCCUGAGAGGGUGAACGGGCACAUGGGGACUGAGGUACGGCCCAGACGCCUACGGGAGGCAGCAGGGGGGAAUAUUGCACAAUGGGCGGAAGUCUGAUGCAGCAGCGCCGCGUGCGGGAUGACGGCCUUCGGGUUGUAAACCGCUUUCGCCUGUGACGAAGCGUGAGUGACGGUAAUGGGUAAAGAAGCACCGGCUAACUACGUG
rnacentral:rRNA from 1 species